AUGACUACGUUGACAAAUACAUGGUCUACUGUAACACCCCAACCCCGCUAGGGCUGACGUGUCACUCUUACAGAUAUCAAAACUAAAACCAAUCCAUAACAUUAAAUAAAAUAUCCUAAUUACAUUUAUUACAGUACUGAAAUAUAGAAUCUUGACCAGCAACUUCCUAACGCUCAUCACUGAAAUCCCAGAUCAUCCCAUAUUACCUGUAAAACAAAUAGGAAAACACAAAAAGAAAAAAAUACGGCUGAGCCAAAAGUUGCUCAGUAACGGAGAAAUCAACAGUACCAGUAAAGUCAUAUCAGCAGAAGCAAAACACAAUAGAACGGAACAGAACUGAACUGAACUGAGACUGAACUAAAACAGUCAUUGACACGAUUACAAAAAAACAAAUGCAGGCACAUCACUAAUGCAGAAACUGAUACACGAACCGAUCUGAAACUGUGACGGAAACUAAAACAAAAACAAAAGUAAAUGCUAUACAUCACCGAUACCGAACCCAACCCAAAACUGAUGUUGAGACUGAUACAUUAUUGGCCAUAAUGACUAAAACGAUUUAUCUUGUAUAAACGAACUUAUUUUAAA
rnacentral:lncRNA from 1 species